GACGAACGCUGGCGGCGUGCCUAAUACAUGCAAGUCGAGCGAAUGGAUUAAGAGCUUGCUCUUAUGACGUUAGCGGCGGACGGGUGAGUAACACGUGGGUAACCUGCCCAUAAGACUGGGAUAACUCCGGGAAACCGGGGCCAAUACCGGAUAACAUUUUGAACCGCAUGGCUCGAAAUGGAAAGGCGGCUUCGGCUGUCACUUAUGGAUGGCCCCGCGUCGCAUUAGCUAGUGGGUGGGGUAACGGCGCACCAAGGCAACGCUGCGUAGCCGACCUGAGAGGGGGAUCGGCCAGACUGGGAGCGGAACACGGCCCAGACUCCGACGGGAGGCAGCAGUAGGGAAUCUUCCGCAAUGGACGAAAGUCUGACGGAGCAACGCCGCGUGAGUGAUGAAGGCUUGCGGGUCGUAAAACUCUGUUGUUAGGGAAGAACAAGUGCUAGUUGAAUAAGCUGGCACCUUGACGGUACCUAACCAGAAAGUCACGGCUAACUACGUGCCAGCCGCCGCAGUAA
rnacentral:rRNA from 1 species